UGGGGAAUUUUGGACAAUGGGCGAAAGCCUGAUCCAGCAAUGCCGCGUGUGUGAAGAAGGCCUUCGGGUUGUAAGCACUUUUGUCCGGAAAGAAAUCCUUGGCUCUAAUACAGUCGGGGGAUGACGGUACCGGAAGAAUAAGCACCGGCUAACUACGUGCCAGCAGCCGCGGUAAUACGUAGGGUGCAAGCGUUAAUCGGAAUUACUGGGCGUAAAGCGUGCGCAGGCGGUUUGCUAAGACCGAUGUGAAAUCCCCGGGGCUCAACCUGGGAACUGCAUUGGUGACUGGCAGGCUAGAGUAUGGCAGAGGGGGGUAGAAUUCCACGUGUAGCAGUGAAAUGCGUAGAGAUGUGGAGGAAUACCGAUGGCGAAGGCAGCCCCCUGGGCCAAUACUGACGCUCAUGCACGAAAGCGUGGGGGAGCAAAACAGGAUUAGAUACCCCUGGUAGUCCACGCCCUAAACGAUGUCAACUAGUUGUUGGGGAUUCAUUCCUUAGUAACGUAGCUAACGCGUGAAGUUGACCGCCUGGGGGAAGUACGGUCGCAAGAUUAAAACUCAAAU
rnacentral:rRNA from 1 species